GACGAACGCUGGCGGCGUGCUUAACACAUGCAAGUCGAACGAUGAUGCCCAGCUUGCUGGGUGGAUUAGUGGCGAACGGGUGAGUAACACGUGAGUAACCUGCCCCUGACUCUGGGAUAAGCGUUGGAAACGACGUCUAAUACUGGAUAUGACUGCCGGCCGCAUGGUCUGGUGGUGGAAAGAUUUUUUGGUUGGGGAUGGACUCGCGGCCUAUCAGCUUGUUGGUGAGGUAAUGGCUCACCAAGGAGACGACGGGUAGCCGGCCUGAGAGGGGGACCGGCCACACUGGGACUGAGACACGGCCCAGACUCCUACGGGAGGCAGCAGUGGGGAAUAUUGCACAAUGGGCGAAAGCCUGAUGCAGCAACGCCGCGUGAGGGAUGACGGCCUUCGGGCUGUAAACCUCUUUUAGUAGGGAAGAAGCGUAAGUGACGGUACCUGCAGAAAAAGCACCGGCUAACUACGUGCCAGCCGCCGCCGUAA
rnacentral:rRNA from 1 species